ensembl:snoRNA Small nucleolar RNA SNORD35
UGCAAAUGAUGUUUAUUCUCACGAUGGUCUUCCAAGCUCAAGCUCUGACGACGGUGCCUAAUGGCAUUGCUGAUGCAUAUAU